UUUAACUGAGCGUUCAGUUACUUGACGUAGACCCGAAACCGGGCGACCUACCCAUGAGCAGGAUGAAGCGAAAGUAAAAUUUCGUGGAGGUCCGAACCCACGAGCGUUGAAAAGCUCGGGGAUGACUUGUGGGUAGCGGUGAAAUUCCAAUCGAGCCCGGAGAUAGCUGGUUCUCCCCGAAAUAGCUUUAGGGCUAGCCUCAAGGUGAGAGAUACGGAGGUAGAGCACUGAAUGUCCUAGGGGGUAUUGCACCUACCGAAGACUAUCAAACUCCGAAUGCCGUCAUCUUAUACUUGGGAGUCAGACUGUGGGUGAUAAGAUUCAUAGUCGAAAGGGCAACAGCCCAGAUCGUCAGCUAAGGUCCCUAAAUGUAAGUUAAGUGGUAAAGGAUGUGGGAUUGCACAGACAACCAGGAUGUUGGCUUAGAAGCAGCCACUCAUUCAAAGAGUGCGUAAUAGCUCACUGGUCGAGUGAUCCUGCGCCGAAGAUUUCCGGGGCUAAAACUUACUACCGAAGCUACGGCAUCAGUAAUGAUGGGUAGGGGAGCUUCCCAUACGGGUUGAAGCAUGACCGUAAGGACAUGUGGACAGUAUGGGAGUGAGAAUGUUGGCAUGAGUAGCGAGAUGUGGGUGAGAAUCCCACAGGCCGUAAACCCAAGGUUUCCAGGGGAAGGUUCGUCCGCCCUGGGUUAGUCGGGACCUAAGCUGAGGCCGAAAGGCGUAGGUGAUGGACAACAGGUUGAUAUUCCUGUACUACCGAUAACCGUUUGAGAGAAGGGAUGACACAGUAGGAUAAGCUAAGCACACUGUUGGUUAUGUGUGCCCAAGCAUUGAGGCAGUCAAAGUAGGCAAAUCCGCUUUGAUAAUGCUAGGAUGUGAUGGGGAGCGAAAUUUAGUAGCGAAGUAGCUGAUUUCACACUGUCAAGAAAAGUCUCUAUCGAGGUUAAAGGUACCCGUACCGCAAACC
rnacentral:rRNA from 1 species